rnacentral:rRNA from 1 species
CUUUUGUGGGGUGCUCGAGUGCGAACGGGUGAGUAACACGUGAGUAACCUGCCCUUGACUUUGGGAUAACUUCAGGAAACUGGGGCUAAUACCGGAUAGGAGCUCCUGCUGCAUGGUGGGGGUUGGAAAGUUUCGGCGGUUGGGGAUGGACUCGCGGCUUAUCAGCUUGUUGGUGGGGUAGUGGCUUACCAAGGCUUUGACGGGUAGCCGGCCUGAGAGGGUGACCGGCCACAUUGGGACUGAGAUACGGCCCAG